AGUGGCGGACGGGUGAGUAACACGUAAGAAUUUGCCUUUAGGAGGGGGACAACAACUGGAAACGGUUGCUAAUACCCCAUAUGCUUUCGAGUAAAAUGGAUUUCCGCCUAAAGAGAAGCUUGCGGCUGAUUAGCUUGUUGGUAGGGUAAUGGCCUACCAAGGCGACGAUCAGUAUCUGGUUUGAGAGGACGAUCAGACACACUGGAACUGAGACACGGUCCAGACUCCUACGGGAGGCAGCAGUAGGGAAUUUUCCGCAAUGGGCGAAAGCCUGACGGAGCAAUACCGCGUGAGGGAUGAAUGCCUAUGGGUUGUAAACCUCUUUUCUCAGGGAGGAAUAAAUGACGUGUACCUGAAGAAUAAGCAUCGGCUAACUCCGUGCCAGCAGCCGCGGUAAGACGGAGGAUGCAAGUGUUAUCCGGAAUCACUGGGCGUAAAGCGUCUGUAGGUGGCUUAAUAAGUCAACUGUUAAAUCUUGAAGCUCAACUUCAAAAUCGCAGUCGAAACUAUUAGACUAGAGUAUAGUAGAGGUAAAGGGAAUUUCCAGUGGAGCGGUGAAAUGCGUAGAGAUUGGAAAGAACACCGAUGGCGAAGGCACUUUACUGGGCUAUUACUGACACUCAGAGACGAAAGCUAGGGUAGCAAAUGGGAUUAGAUACCCCAGUAGUCCUAGCCGUAAACAAUGGAUACUAGGUGUUGA
rnacentral:rRNA from 1 species